rnacentral:rRNA from 8 species
AAAUUGAAGAGUUUGAUCAUGGCUCAGAUUGAACGCUGGCGGCAGGCCUAACACAUGCAAGUCGAACGGUAACAGGAAGCAGCUUGCUGCUUUGCUGACGAGUGGCGGACGGGUGAGUAAUGUCUGGGAAACUGCCUGAUGGAGGGGGAUAACUACUGGAAACGGUGGCUAAUACCGCAUAACGUCGCAAGACCAAAGAGGGGGACCUUCGGGCCUCUUGCCAUCAGAUGUGCCCAGAUGGGAUUAGCUUGUUGGUGAGGUAACGGCUCACCAAGGCGACGAUCCCUAGCUGGUCUGAGAGGAUGACCAGCCACACUGGAACUGAGACACGGUCCAGACUCCUACGGGAGGCAGCAGUGGGGAAUAUUGCACAAUGGGCGCAAGCCUGAUGCAGCCAUGCCGCGUGUAUGAAGAAGGCCUUCGGGUUGUAAAGUACUUUCAGCGGGGAGGAAGGUGUUGUGGUUAAUAACCACAGCAAUUGACGUUACCCGCAGAAGAAGCACCGGCUAACUCCGUGCCAGCAGCCGCGGUAAUACGGAGGGUGCAAGCGUUAAUCGGAAUUACUGGGCGUAAAGCGCACGCAGGCGGUCUGUCAAGUCGGAUGUGAAAUCCCCGGGCUCAACCUGGGAACUGCAUUCGAAACUGGCAGGCUUGAGUCUUGUAGAGGGGGGUAGAAUUCCAGGUGUAGCGGUGAAAUGCGUAGAGAUCUGGAGGAAUACCGGUGGCGAAGGCGGCCCCCUGGACAAAGACUGACGCUCAGGUGCGAAAGCGUGGGGAGCAAACAGGAUUAGAUACCCUGGUAGUCCACGCCGUAAACGAUGUCUACUUGGAGGUUGUGCCCUUGAGGCGUGGCUUCCGGAGCUAACGCGUUAAGUAGACCGCCUGGGGAGUACGGCCGCAAGGUUAAAACUCAAAUGAAUUGACGGGGGCCCGCACAAGCGGUGGAGCAUGUGGUUUAAUUCGAUGCAACGCGAAGAACCUUACCUGGUCUUGACAUCCACGGAAGUUUUCAGAGAUGAGAAUGUGCCUUCGGGAACCGUGAGACAGGUGCUGCAUGGCUGUCGUCAGCUCGUGUUGUGAAAUGUUGGGUUAAGUCCCGCAACGAGCGCAACCCUUAUCCUUUGUUGCCAGCGGUCCGGCCGGGAACUCAAAGGAGACUGCCAGUGAUAAACUGGAGGAAGGUGGGGAUGACGUCAAGUCAUCAUGGCCCUUACGACCAGGGCUACACACGUGCUACAAUGGCGCAUACAAAGAGAAGCGACCUCGCGAGAGCAAGCGGACCUCAUAAAGUGCGUCGUAGUCCGGAUUGGAGUCUGCAACUCGACUCCAUGAAGUCGGAAUCGCUAGUAAUCGUGGAUCAGAAUGCCACGGUGAAUACGUUCCCGGGCCUUGUACACACCGCCCGUCACACCAUGGGAGUGGGUUGCAAAAGAAGUAGGUAGCUUAACCUUCGGGAGGGCGCUUACCACUUUGUGAUUCAUGACUGGGGUGAAGUCGUAACAAGGUAACCGUAGGGGAACCUGCGGUUGGAUCACCUCCUUA